AGCAUGCUGGCCGGCCACGGCCACGGCCACGGCCUCGACCUGGCCCUGCUGAUGCUGCGGGUGGCGGCAGGCGGCUUCCUGCUGCCGCACGCGCUG
rnacentral:tRNA from 1 species